GACGAACGCUGGCGGCGUGCUUAACACAUGCAAGUCGAACGGAAAGGCCCUGCUUGCAGGGUACUCGAGUGGCGAACGGGUGAGUAACACGUGGGUGAUCUGCCCUGCACUUCGGGAUAAGCUUGGGAAACUGGGUCUAAUACCGGAUAGGACCGCACUUUAGUGUGUGUGGUGGAAAGUUUUUUCGGUGUAGGAUGAGCUCGCAGCCUAUCAGCUUGUUGGUGGGGUAAUGGCCUACCAAGGCGGCGACGGGUAGCCGGCCUGAGAGGGUGUACGGCCACAUUGGGACUGAGAUACGGCCCAGACUCCUACGGGAGGCAGCAGUGGGGAAUAUUGCACAAUGGGCGCAAGCCUGAUGCAGCGACGCCGCGUGGGGGAUGAAGGCCUUCGGGUUGUAAACUCCUUUCGCUAGGGACGAAGCUUUGUUGUGACGGUACCUAGAUAAGAAGCACCGGCUAACUACGUG
rnacentral:rRNA from 1 species